UACGUAGGGCGCAAGCGUUAUCCGGAAUUAUUGGGCGUAAAGAGCUUGUAGGCGGUUUGUCGCGUCUGCUGUGAAAUUUCGGGGCUCAACCCCGAACCUUGCAGUGGGUACGGGCAGACUAGAGUGUGGUAGGGGGAGACUGGAAUUCCUGGUGUAGCGGUGAAAUGCGCAGAUAUCAGGAGGAACACCGAUGGCGAAGGCAGGUCUCUGGGCCAUAACUGACGCUGAGAAGCGAAAGCAUGGGGAGCGAACAGG
rnacentral:rRNA from 1 species